rnacentral:rRNA from 1 species
UUAAGCGACUAAGCGUACACGGUGGAUGCCCUGGCAGUCAGAGGCGAUGAAGGACGUGCUAAUCUGCGAAAAGCGUCGGUAAGGUGAUAUGAACCGUUACAGCCGGCGAUGUCCGAAUGGGGAAACCCAGUGUGAUUCGUCACACUAUCGUUAACUGAAUACAUAGGUUAACGAGGCGAACCGGGGGAACUGAAACAUCUAAGUACCCCGAGGAAAAGAAAUCAACCGAGAUUCCCCCAGUAGCGGCGAGCGAACGGGGAGCAGCCCAGAGUCUGAAUCAGCUUGUGUGUUAGUGGAACGGUCUGGAAAGUCCGACGGUACAGGGUGAUAGUCCCGUACACCAAAAUGCACAGGUUGUGAACUCGAAGAGUAGGGCGGGACACGUGAUAUCCUGUCUGAAUAUGGGGGGACCAUCCUCCAAGGCUAAAUACUCCUGACUGACCGAUAGUGAACCAGUACCGUGAGGGAAAGGCGAAAAGAACCCCGGCGAGGGGAGUGAAAAAGAACCUGAAACCGUGUACGUACAAGCAGUGGGAGCACCUUUAUGGUGUGACUGCGUACCUUUUGUAUAAUGGGUCAGCGACUUAUAUUCUGUAGCAAGGUUAACCGUAUAGGGGAGCCGCAGGGAAACCGAGUCUUAACUGGGCGUUAAGUUGCAGGGUAUAGACCCGAAACCCGGUGAUCUAGCCAUGGGCAGGUUGAAGGUUGGGUAACACUAACUGGAGGACCGAACCGACUAAUGUUGAAAAAUUAGCGGAUGACUUGUGGCUGGGGGUGAAAGGCCAAUCAAACCGGGAGAUAGCUGGUUCUCCCCGAAAGCUAUUUAGGUAGCGCCUCGUGAACUCAUCUUCGGGGGUAGAGCACUGUUUCGGCUAGGGGGUCAUCCCGACUUACCAACCCGAUGCAAACUACGAAUACCGAAGAAUGUUAUCACGGGAGACACACGGCGGGUGCUAACGUCCGUCGUGAAGAGGGAAACAACCCAGACCGCCAGCUAAGGUCCCAAAGUCACAGUUAAGUGGGAAACGAUGUGGGAAGGCACAGACAGCCAGGAUGUUGGCUUAGAAGCAGCCAUCAUUUAAAGAAAGCGUAAUAGCUCACUGGUCGAGUCGGCCUGCGCGGAAGAUGUAACGGGGCUAAACUGUGCACCGAAGCUGCGGCAGCGACACUAUGUGUUGUUGGGUAGGGGAGCGUUCUGUAAGCCUGCGAAGGUGGCCUGUGAGGGUUGCUGGAGGUAUCAGAAGUGCGAAUGCUGACAUAAGUAACGAUAAUGCGGGUGAAAAGCCCGCACGCCGGAAGACCAAGGGUUCCUGUCCAACGUUAAUCGGGGCAGGGUGAGUCGACCCCUAAGGCGAGGCCGAAAGGCGUAGUCGAUGGGAAACAGGUUAAUAUUCCUGUACUUGGUGUUACUGCGAAGGGGGGACGGAGAAGGCUAUGUUAGCCGGGCGACGGUUGUCCCGGUUUAAGCAUGUAGGCGGAGGUUCCAGGUAAAUCCGGUACCUUUUAACGCUGAGGUGUGAUGACGAGGCACUACGGUGCUGAAGUAACAAAUGCCCUGCUUCCAGGAAAAGCCUCUAAGCAUCAGGUAACAUUGAAUCGUACCCCAAACCGACACAGGUGGUCAGGUAGAGAAUACCAAGGCGCUUGAGAGAACUCGGGUGAAGGAACUAGGCAAAAUGGUGCCGUAACUUCGGGAGAAGGCACGCUGAUAUGUAGGUGAAGCCCCUGCGGGUGGAGCUGAAAUCAGUCGAAGAUACCAGCUGGCUGCAACUGUUUAUUAAAAACACAGCACUGUGCAAACACGAAAGUGGACGUAUACGGUGUGACGCCUGCCCGGUGCCGGAAGGUUAAUUGAUGGGGUUAUCCGUAAGGAGAAGCUCUUGAUCGAAGCCCCGGUAAACGGCGGCCGUAACUAUAACGGUCCUAAGGUAGCGAAAUUCCUUGUCGGGUAAGUUCCGACCUGCACGAAUGGCGUAAUGAUGGCCAGGCUGUCUCCACCCGAGACUCAGUGAAAUUGAACUCGCUGUGAAGAUGCAGUGUACCCGCGGCAAGACGGAAAGACCCCGUGAACCUUUACUAUAGCUUGACACUGAACAUUGAGCCUUGAUGUGUAGGAUAGGUGGGAGGCUUUGAAGCGUGGACGCCAGUCUGCGUGGAGCCAACCUUGAAAUACCACCCUUUAAUGUUUGAUGUUCUAACGUGGACCCGUAAUCCGGGUUGCGGACAGUGUCUGGUGGGUAGUUUGACUGGGGCGGUCUCCUCCCAAAGAGUAACGGAGGAGCACGAAGGUUAGCUAAUCCUGGUCGGACAUCAGGAGGUUAGUGCAAUGGCAUAAGCUAGCUUGACUGCGAGCGUGACGGCGCGAGCAGGUGCGAAAGCAGGUCAUAGUGAUCCGGUGGUUCUGAAUGGAAGGGCCAUCGCUCAACGGAUAAAAGGUACUCCGGGGAUAACAGGCUGAUACCGCCCAAGAGUUCAUAUCGACGGCGGUGUUUGGCACCUCGAUGUCGGCUCAUCACAUCCUGGGGCUGAAGUAGGUCCCAAGGGUAUGGCUGUUCGCCAUUUAAAGUGGUACGCGAGCUGGGUUUAGAACGUCGUGAGACAGUUCGGUCCCUAUCUGCCGUGGGCGCUGGAGAAUUGAGGGGGGCUGCUCCUAGUACGAGAGGACCGGAGUGGACGCAUCACUGGUGUUCGGGUUGUCAUGCCAAUGGCAUUGCCCGGUAGCUAAAUGCGGAAGAGAUAAGUGCUGAAAGCAUCUAAGCACGAAACUUGCCCCGAGAUGAGUUCUCCCUGACUCCUUGAGAGUCCUGAAGGAACGUUAAAGACUAUGACGUUGAUAGGUCGGGUGUGUAAGCGUAGCGAUACGUUGAGCUAACCGAUACUAAUGAACCGUGAGGCUUAACCUU